ACAAAAAAAAAACAGAGAACCAAACAGAGUAAAAUUCCUUUCUGAGGAUAAAACUGUCCUUGUAACCAAACACACAACUUUGAGCUCUAGGGCUUCCACAAAACUUUUAGUAUAAAAGUUUCCUAUCUUCGCUGUCUUGCACAACCUUUCCUCUUACGGCCACUUUGUGUCUGUUCCUUUCUUUCUUAUCCUUCUUCCAGUCUGAAUCGGUGUUUCUUGUUGUUUAUCAAAAAGAAUCAGUGUUUCUUGUACACCGUUUGGUUUUCGGUGCCUUUAUCCAGUUUUUUUUUUUUUUUUUUUUUGUUUUUCUCUUUUUACCCGAUGGAAUUCGAAUAUGAUGAAAGCAAUACAUAAACGGGAUGCUCUGGAACUGGAUGCAUUUGAUUUGUUCUCAAUUUUUUUUUUCAAAUAAUUUUGUUCUUCUUAAUUCUUGGAGAAAAUUAAGGUGAAUUUUUAAAUGAAAAUGGCUUUUUCUUAAAUGUCAAAUAUAUUUAUUCGAUGAGGUUUUGGUUGGAAAUUUAUUUUUUUCUUUUCUGGGUAAAAAGGAUGGAAAUUUUUUAAGCUUUAGGAUAGAAGAAGUUGAAAAAUAAAAAGGAAAAUGUAAUAGGUAAAAGGGGAGUGAAAUAAAUAUUUGACUUAUUAAUGCAAAUGUUGAUUAUUUAAUAUAUGUUAAAAAGUAAUUCCUUGACAAUUUAAAAAAUUUAAAUUAAAACCUUUCGAGCAACAAUAUGUUGGUAGUAAAAACACUUUAUUUUUCUUUCAGUUUUAUGAAUUUGGUUUAGAAAAAAAGUUUCCGUUUUGCUAUUUGAAAAUAUGCCCAUUAGAUAGGAAUUUCUUUUUUUUUUUUUUUUUGUUUGGUAAUAUGUAUCUGUAAACUGCCUUAAAAAAUGAAGCACGGCAAUAUACAGUACUAUUUUUCAUCCACAAAAAUAGAGAAAAAUGAAAAAAAGAAGA